UAAUGCCGGAUGCUCCGACUCCUCGCAUGGGGUGUCGGGAAAGAUUUCAUCGGUAUGGGAUGGGGUCGCGUCCUAUCAGGUAGUCGGCGGGGUAACGGCCCACCGAGCCUACGACGGGUAGCCGGCCUGAGAGGGCGACCGGCCACAUUGGGACUGAGAUACGGCCCAGACUCCUACGGGAGGCAGCAGUGGGGAAUAUUGCACAAUGGGCGCAAGCCUGAUGCAGCGACGCCGCGUGCGGGAUGACGGCCUUCGGGUUGUAAACCGCUUUUGAUCGGGAGCAAGCCUUCGGGUGAGUGUACCUUUCGAAUAAGCACCGGCUAACUACGUGCCAGCAGCCGCGGUAAUACGUAGGGUGCAAGCGUUAUCCGGAAUUAUUGGGCGUAAAGGGCUCGUAGGCGGUUCGUCGCGUCCGGUGUGAAAGUCCAUCGCUUAACGGUGGAUCUGCGCCGGGUACGGGCGGGCUGGAGUGCGGUAGGGGAGACUGGAAUUCCCGGUGUAACGGUGGAAUGUGUAGAUAUCGGAAAAGA
rnacentral:rRNA from 1 species